rnacentral:lncRNA from 1 species
CCUGUGUCUUAAUUUAGGUUUGUAUCUUAUGCACUUAGUUUGUCUUUAGAUUUUCAUCAGUUUGUUCAUCGUGUCUGAGUCUAUCCUUCAUCUUCAUUCUAUAUGUCUGAGUUCUGUUAGUACUUUACCUUGUUUCUUGAAUCUGUCUAGGUAUUGUCUGCAAGCUUGAUCUCCUUUACUCCUCAAUCAUAAAUUAUUUUGCUUUUGUACUCUUGAGUUUCUGACUGUUAGUUAUAUGGUGCAUGCGGGUAGUAUCGUAUAUCUUAUAGUUCGUCUAUCCAUUUACUACUUUUACAUGUACGCACGUAGCUUGUCCUUUGCUGC